rnacentral:misc_RNA from 1 species
GAAAUGCGAUAAGUAAUGUGAAUUGCAGAAUUCAGUGAAUCAUCGAAUCUUUGAACGCACCUUGCGCUCCUUGGUAUUCCUUGGAGCAUGCCUGUUUGAGUAUCAUGAAAUCUUCAAAGUAAAUCUUUUGUUAACUCAAUUGGUUUCUACUUUGGUAUUGGAGGUCUUUGCAGCUUCACACCUGCUCCUCUUUGUUCAUUAGCUGGAUCUCAGUGUUAUGCUUGGUUCCACUCGGCGUGAUAAGUUAUCUAUCGCUGAGGACACUGUAAAAGGUGGCCAAGGUAAAUGCAGAUGAACCGCUUCUAAUAGUCCAUUGACUUGGACAAUACUUUUAUGAUCUGAUCUCAAAUCAGGUAGGACUACCCCCUGAACUUAAGC